CGUAAGAACCUACCCUCAAGUGGGGGAUAACCCCGAGAAAUCGGGGCUAAUACCGCAUAAGCUCCCCGAUUAUAUCGGGGAGGAAAGCUGAGGCGCUUGAGGACGGGCUUGCGUCCGAUUAGCUGGUUGGUGAGGUAAUGGCUCACCAAGGCUGAGAUCGGUAGCUGGUUUGAGAGGACGGUCAGCCACACUGGGACUGAGAUACGGCCCAGACUCCUACGGGAGGCAGCAGCAGGGGAUAUUGCGCAAUGGGUGAAAGCCUGACGCAGCAACGCCGCGUGGGGGAAGAAGGUCUUCGGGUUGUAAACCCCUUUUCUCGGGGAAGAUAGUGACGGUACCCGAGGAAUAAGUCUCGGCUAACUACGUGCCAGCAGCCGCGGUAAGACGUAGGAGGCGAGCGUUAUCCGGAUUUACUGGGCGUAAAGGGCGUGUAGGCGGCUCUUCAAGUCUGUGGUGAAAUCUCCCGGCUCAACUGGGAGGGUGCCAGAGAAACUGGAGGGCUUGAGGGCAGCAGAGGGGGGGUGGAAUUCCCGGUGUAGUGGUGAUAUGCGUAGAUAUCGGGAGGAACACCAGUGGCGAAGGCGGCCCCCUGGGCUGUUCCUGACGCUGAGGCGCGAAAGCGUGGGGAGCAAACAGGAUUAGAUACCCUGGUAGUCCACGCCGCAAACGAUGGACACUAGGNUANGGGGGGUAUCGACCCCCUCCGUGCCGAAGCUUACGCUUUAAGUGUCCCGCCUGGGGAGUACGGCCGCAAGGCUAAAACCCAAAGGAAUUGACGGGGGCCCGCACAAGCAGCGGAGCGUGUGGUUCAAUUCGAUGCAAAGCGAAGAACCUUACCAAGGCUUGACAUGCACCGGAAGGCCCAAGAAAUUGGGAGGUCCUUCGGGACCGGUGCGCAGAUGCUGCAUGGCUGUCGUCAGCUCGUGCCGUGAGGUGUUGGGUUAAGUCCCGCAACGAGCGCAACCCUCGUUGCCAGUUGCAUUUUCUGGCGAGACUGCCCCGCAAAACGGGGAGGAAGGGGAGGAUGACGUCAAGUCAGCACGGCCCUUAUGCCUUGGGCUACACACACGCUACAAUGGGUGGUACAAAGGGCAGCAACGGAGCGAUCCUGAGCUAAUCCUAAAAGCCAUCCUCAGUUCGGAUUACAGGCUGAAAUUCGCCUGUAUGAAGUUGGAGCUGCUAGUAACUGCAGGUCAGCAUACUGCGGUGAAUACGUUCUCGGGCCUUGUACACACCGCCCGUCACGUCAUGAGAGUCGACAACACCUGAAGUCGAUGGGCUAACCCUAACUUGUUAGGGAGGCAGUCGCCGAGGGUGGGGCCGAUGAUUGGGACGAAGUCGUAACAAGGUAACC
rnacentral:rRNA from 1 species